CUAAUACAUGCAAGUCGAACGCUUUGUGGUUCAACUGAUUUGAAGAGCUUGCUCAGAUAUGACGAUGGACAUUGCAAAGAGUGGCGAACGGGUGAGUAACACGUGGGAAACCUACCUCUUAGCAGGGGAUAACAUUUGGAAACAGAUGCUAAUACCGUAUAACAAUGACAACCGCAUGGUUGUUAUUUAAAAGAUGGUUCUGCUAUCACUAAGAGAUGGUCCCGCGGUGCAUUAGCUAGUUGGUAAGGUAAUGGCUUACCAAGGCGAUGAUGCAUAGCCGAGUUGAGAGACUGAUCGGCCACAAUGGGACUGAGACACGGCCCAUACUCCUACGGGAGGCAGCAGUAGGGAAUCUUCCACAAUGGGCGAAAGCCUGAUGGAGCAACGCCGCGUGUGUGAUGAAGGGUUUCGGCUCGUAAAACACUGUUGUAAGAGAAGAAUGACAUUGAGAGUAACUGUUCAAUGUGUGACGGUAUCUUACCAGAAAGGAACGGCUAAAUACGUGCCAGCAGCCGCGGUAAUACGUAUGUUCCAAGCGUUAUCCGGAUUUAUUGGGCGUAAAGCGAGCGCAGACGGUUAUUUAAGUCUGAAGUGAAAGCCCUCAGCUCAACUGAGGAAUUGCUUUGGAAACUGGAUGACUUGAGUGCAGUAGAGGAAAGUGGAACUCCAUGUGUAGCGGUGAAAUGCGUAGAUAUAUGGAAGAACACCAGUGGCGAAGGCGGCUUUCUGGACUGUAACUGACGUUGAGGCUCGAAAGUGUGGGUAGCAAACAGGAUUAGAUACCCUGGUAGUCCACACCGUAAACGAUGAGUGCUAGGUGUUUGAGGGUUUCCGCCCUUAAGUGCCGCAGCUAACGCAUUAAGCACUCCGCCUG
rnacentral:rRNA from 1 species